CUGUUUUUAAUCACACCAGGGUGGAAAGAAAUGACCUAGCCAUAGUUACAGAUGGAGCUGCUUUAUGGUGUUUAUAGUACUGCUUAUAAAAGGAAGGGCUGAUGGGAAAAGAUCGUGUUUACGCUACGGUGUGCUAAAUAACACCAUCAUACUUCCAGAAUAGAGUAUGGAGGCCAUCUUGGAGAUGCUCCAGGAAGGACGAGAAAUCAGUGCUCCAGAAACACAACAGAGAGAUGAUCAGAGUUUCUAACAUGUUGCUUGGACUUUCAUGGGUGCUGAUGUGUGAGCAGGACACACCAACAAUCUUCAGCAUCAGUUCACUAUCAGCUACGCUUUCUGCAAUCUUAACACCAAAAGCUGUCGUGUGGUCACCUGUUAAACCUGUCCCUCCUGUGGGCUCCACUCUAACACUUCACUUCUUUUUGCAGUGUGCAGUACCUCCGUGUGACACCAGGUGGCACCAGAUAAACACUUUACAGCAGAUCCUAAAGUCUGAGGCUACAGAAGGUUCUAGAAGGAGAAAGACCUCCAGUAUGUGACUGAUAAUGACCCUUUUCUGGCCCUGACUGCCUAACCUUCAGAGUAUUUAUUUGUUUAUAAACUGUUUAUAUAUCUUUUCCACAUUUAAGUAAAAAAAAAAAUAUAUAUUACAGAGACAGACUUCCUUCAUUUAUUCCAGUCA